AAAACGAAAACUUUAUCUAACAUUAUUAACUAAUCAAUCAUAAAAGCCUAGAGAAAACGAAAGUUUUAUGCAAUUAUCCUCAGAUCAAAGAUGCCAUACAAAAAGGGGAUUCGUUCGACAAGAUUUAGGAAUUGCACAUAAUUAUUUUUUUGAGGAUCAAACAGACAAAAAAAAAAAAGAAAGAAAAUCAAGAAGAAAGCGCUAGAUUUGGGGAUGAGGGGAAAUUACCUGAUCGUGAUCCUUUGGUUGGAGGAAAAAACUGACGAUUAGUGGAAACCAAAGCGAACGAUGGAAGAAGGGAAAAAGAGUUGACGCCCUGCGAGGAAGUUAGCUAGGUUUUUG
rnacentral:lncRNA from 1 species